rnacentral:lncRNA from 1 species
CAGGAAUUAACCACUGGGGGGGUUUGAGCUACUUUAGGCUUAUUUGGAUCAUGAUUAAUCCUCUAAGUAAAUGGAUGAAUUAAGAUCAUUUAUAAUGAAUACAUAUAGUAAGAUAAGUAGGAGUCUCACAAUGAGAAUUAAGAGACCUACAUGCAAUGCAUCAACUAACACAAUCCAAUCAGAAGGAACGUUACUUAACAGUACCGAAUGAUCUAAAGUUUAAUUUUGUGAAGAGGCUGGCUAAGAAAGUAAAUAAGAGUCAAGACAUUGAGAGAGGACCUACAAUAUUGAACAUGUUAAAGAAUGAAAAAGAUCGUUGGAAAGAAAUUGAGAAACAGAAUAUGCAGAAUAUGCACAUAAAAAAAUUACAUGCACUAUAAAAAUUAUAAUAGAUUCUAUGAAAACUCUAGAUAUCAAACAUGCAACAAGUAAGCCAAUUAGCUCUCAGCAUUCUUCACUGCAGCUUGCUCUACCACCAUAAAUUUUUAGCAAUCAUACUUUUUACAUAUUUU